rnacentral:misc_RNA from 1 species
UCUGAUCGGAGUGCAGUUGUAAGC